UUUAACAAAACAUUAAUCUUCUUGCCAGUGCUUCCAAAGAAUGGGCGCUGAUCGAGCUUGAGCGCCGAGGCCCGGCUAAUAAUCAUUCCAUUGUCGCGGUCUUUUAUUUACGCCUUGGCUCGAGCCGGCAGAUGAGGCACCUCACCACCCCCCACCCUCUUUUGCUUAAUGUCCACCACCUUAUUCCCUCCCCGUCCCCUCCAGUGGCUUUCAAUAGCACAUUUCCCCAUCUCACCCCCCCACCCCUUCUUUUCCCUAAAUCACCCACUGCAUUUGCAUGUGAAUCGCUUGUAUAUCUUCUUUUAUAUGAUGCACCCACAACAGUGGCAAAAAAAAAAAAAAAAAAGCAAGGACCCCCCCCAUCCAACCCUGACCCCCCCCCCCCACUCCCUUCCAAUACAGACACAUACAUACAUGGACACACUAAAAAAAAAAAAAAUGAUGAAAAAACAA